CACAAGCUGAGUUCCAUUAGACAUUAUGGAGUAGAAGAAGGAAGGAACUACUGUAGAUGCAGGCAACUAAUUUCAACGGUAGCUGGAGACCCUCAUGCUACUACACAGACAAGAGGAGAGAAGAAGUAGAUGUCUGAUCUCCGAUCCGGCCAGAUUAGAUCUGAGUAGUGACAGCGGAGACACCCUGAAGCAAGGUCAAAGUAACCCACUGAAAGAUAAGGCUGAAAUGAACUGGCUGGCAGUCUGCACACGUUCCCUAACCUUGGCCAAUUAUGAUGAUGAGAUUGCUAUGCAGCUGCAUUUUGAAGAAUACUUGUGACUAUAAAUGUGUUGCCUUCUGUAAUGGUCCGGUGGCCUGCUCUGAGCGUGA